ACUACCUGUUUCUGAGAUGUAUCAGGAAGGAAAAGGAAAGUGCACAAUGGGGGUAUGAAACAGAUGGCCCGGACUUGCCCGGAGGGUCAAGGAUAGGUCACAUCUCACGGGAUAUGACAUCUAAAGCCAAGACCGAGGAAGCGCAGGAGACGCCGGGCCUGGCGGGAAUUGAAGGGUGUUGCACGCAGAGGGAAGAGCGUGUGCAAAGCCGCAGGAGGGAGCUCUGCAUUUUGGAGGGACUCAGAGGAGGGCAGAGCGCAGAGAACAGGGGGGCAGAGGUAGAGGGCUGAGGCAUUUAAAGGAUCCAAAACUCCCUUAGCUUCUGCCAGAGGAGACACCUGAUAAACACAUCAGCGUAUAACGAAUCUCAGGUCAACUGCUACAAAGGAAAAGAAAGGAGGGUCCCAGACUGGAAAGUGACAAGAAAGGCUCUCUGAGUCGAGGGGGGAGGCGUUUGAGUCUGUCUGAAGGAGAGACAUCUGAGUUUCAAUAAAACCACUGAGAAAUCACAGAUUGCUGA